UCUAAAUUUUUUUUUCUUUUCACUGCUUUUUCUUGCUUCAAGGAUCAAUUUAAUGAUUUUUCAGACUAUCAAUAACAUUUUUCCUUUUUCAUUAUUCUUUCAAGAGCUAACAAUUUUUAACAUUCAUAAACAACAACUUCAAAAAUAUGUACUGUUCAAGCAUUCAUUCAGAAAACAAAAAGUAUUGUCAC